GCGAAGAACCUUACCUACUCUUGACAUCCAGAGAAKCCAGCGGAGACGCAGGWGUGCCUUCGGGARCUCUGAGACAGGUGCUGCAUGGCUGUCGUCAGCUCGUGUUGUGAAAUGUUGGGUUAAGUCCCGCAACGAGCGCAACCCUUAUCCUUGUUUGCCAGCACGUAAUGGUGGGAACUCCAGGGAGACUGCCGGUGAUAAACCGGAGGAAGGUGGGGACGACGUCAAGUCAUCAUGGCCCUUACGAGUAGGGCUACACACGUGCUACAAUGGCGCAUACAGAGGGCGGCCAACUUGCGAAAGUGAGCGAAUCCCAAAAAGUGMGUMGURGUCCGGAUUGGAGUCUGCAACUCGACUCCAUGAAGUCG
rnacentral:rRNA from 1 species